rnacentral:rRNA from 1 species
UUUAAUUGAAGAGUUUGAUCAUGGCUCAGAUUGAACGCUGGCGGCAGGCCUAACACAUGCAAGUCGAGCGGCAGCGACAUAAACAAACCUUCGGGGGCGUUUAUGGGCGGCGAGCGGCGGACGGGUGAGUAAUGCCUGGGAAAUUGCCCUGAUGUGGGGGAUAACCAUUGGAAACGAUGGCUAAUACCGCAUGAUAGCUUCGGCUCAAAGAGGGGGACCUUCGGGCCUCUCGCGUCAGGAUAUGCCCAGGUGGGAUUAGCUAGUUGGUGAGGUAAGGGCUCACCAAGGCGACGAUCCCUAGCUGGUCUGAGAGGAUGAUCAGCCACACUGG